rnacentral:misc_RNA from 1 species
UGGGAGCGAAAAGGACUGCGGCUGGACACCUCCUUUAAGAAAUGGGUCCUAGACCCCACACACGCCACUCGGUAAAGAAUCGGGCCUAUAGCUCAGCUGGCUAGAGCACACGACUGAUAAUCGUGAGGUCAGUGGUUCGAGUCCACUUGGGCCCACCAAAUGGGGCUGUAGCUCAGCUGGGAGAGCACCUGCUUUGCAAGCAGGGGGUCACCGGUUCGAUCCCGGUCAGCUCCACCAAAGGGAAGAGGCCCGCGCGCAGCGGGUCGGACGCUGGGGUGGAGAAGUAGGCGGCAGGAAGCGGGUAACAGGUAACAGGAAACAGAAAGUAGAAAAGAAAUUAGUAAUUCCGGAGUCCGGAGUUUCGGAUUUCUGAAUCUGAAUACUGACUAUUCCCAAUUCGGAAGCGGGAUUGGUCUUUGAUCUUUGACGAAUGAAAAGCGAUGUGUGUUGUCUGGCCUAUGGCCGAUGGCCGACCGCAUGCUGGAUGAUUGAUGAUCUAUGGUCUAAGGAAUUACGGUGUAUGCCGUGUGCCAUGCAGGAGACGAGGGACGAGGGUCCCGGAGACCUGCCUCGAGGAGCUGGUAGAUGAGCUUUGAUCUUUGAAUCUCCGAUUGCCGAAAGCCAGCCCCCAGC